rnacentral:rRNA from 1 species
CCUACGGGAGGCAGCAGUGGGGAAUAUUGCACAAUGGGGGAAACCCUGAUGCAGCGACGCCGCGUGAGUGAAGAAGUAAUUCGUUAUGUAAAGCUCUAUCAGCAGGGAAGAAAAUGACGGUACCUGAGUAAGAAGCCCCGGCUAACUACGUGCCAGCAACCGGGGUAAGACGGAGGGGGCCAGCGUUAUCCGGAUUUACUGGGCGUAAAGGGAGCGUAGGCGGCAGUGCAAGUCUGGAGUGAAAGGCGGGGGCUCAACCCCCGGAGUGCUCUGGAAACUGGACGGCUGGAGUGCAGGAGAGGUAAGCGGAAGUCGUAGUGUAGCGGUGAAAUGCGUAGAUAGUAGGAGGAACACCAGUGGCGAAGGCGGCUUACUGGACUGUAACUGACGUUGAGGCUCGAAAGCGUGGGGAGCAAACAGGAUUAGAUACCCUUGUAGUC